GUGGGUAACAGAAAAUCAGUGUGACUGUGUUGCCGUGAGAAGCAGAACUGUGAAACGAGGUCAGAGAUGUCAGAAGAGCCGAAGACCAUGUUAACAAACCGGGAAGUUUUCUUUGCUUUUUUCCGAGAUAGGACGGGGAGUCACUGAGAGGUAAGCAGAAUCUUACCACGGAAAUGGAGUUAGAAAGCAGCGUUCCAUCCUGGCCCAGCAUGUUGGAGACGGUGAUUUCAGCUUUGGGCAUUCGAAUUUAAUAAUGUCACCACGGAAGUGCCAGGCAACUCACAUCUUCUGUGAAAGUGCUUCUCAACUGGAGCCACUCUGCUGCACCCUAGAGAAGGUAUUCGAUAUUUGACAAUGCUUGGAGACACAGUGAUUGUUAUGACAGAGGAAUGCUUCUGACACCCACUAGGUAGAGGCCAGGGAUACUCCUCAUAUCCUACAAUGUCCAGGACAGCCCCCAUGGAAAAGCAUGAGCCAGCACCAUGCCAACAAUGCUGUUGUUGAGAAACCUUGAUCUAUAAUAUACAUAGUUUGAGUUUGCAGCUUUGGUCACUUUAAUGAUGAACUGUGAGAUGACAGAUGAGAUCAACUAUGGAAUGAUUCACUUAAGUAAUAAAGGUGGCUCAAAUUCUGUCAAGCAAGAACUCCAUAUUUUUAAAAUCACUUAUGGUUUGUAUAAUGCAAUGUGAUUACUCAACUCUA